GAUUAUAAUUAUGCUUUUCUUUUUCUUUUUGAAGAGGUAUAUGAUCAUUAUAUGGACUUGAGAGGAAUGGAGCUUGCUCGAUUCGCCCUGGAAGAGUUCAACAAGCAAAAGGUAUUGAACUGUGCAAUGUGAAAUUGAAAUAGUGAAAUUGGUUUUAUUUUCUUUUUAUGAAAUAGUUAAUUGAUAUGAAUUAUGACACAUUAUGUCACAUCCCGACCCUUAUAUUUUUACCUUAUUUACUAGCGUGAUUAUAAUAAGAAUUUUACCGUCUCGAUCAUUGAGUAAAUAGUUUAAUUGGUCCCUAGAGGGGUUUCGGGGACGAUUAUGUGCGGAGGAUAAUUCGUAUGGGGAUUAUACGGCGACGGUAAAAAUAGUAAAUUUUAGCUAGUAAACGGUAAUUUUUAUUCGGGUAUUAUUUUUUCGGGGUGUUGAAUUUUGGAAUUAUGGGUUAAAAGGGGUGUUGGGUCGGCUGGGCCGAGCCCAACCCAUUUCUUCUUCUUUCUCUUCUCCCUCCCUCCCGAUUUUUCUCUCUUCUCACCCGGUUUUCCCCUCUCUACACCCAGCAGAAUUCCGGCCGUCCUCCCGCCGCCGUCCGACCUCCGUUCGCCGCCGGACCGGUCCCGUUCGGUCGGUCUCCCUCCCAGCAUCAUUUCUAGACCGGUGAGAGGAGCCCUAGCGCCGCCGUGAGAGAGCGGUGCCGCCCGAAAGCAAGGGCUGCCCCGAGCUUCCCUUCGCCGGAACUUCCUCCUCCGGCCACCAAUCCGGGCAAGCUUGGUAUGGUUUUGUAGCCCUCCAACCCAGCAACCUUGCCCUAAAAGGACUCACUCCCUCUUGAGCUAGGUAAGGAGAAAUUUGAGGUGGAAGUUUUAUGGUGUUUUUGAUGUUUUUAGUCGAUUUCCCUAGUUAGGCUUGGAAUUGGUGUUUGUGCAAGUUAUGAAAGUUGUAGAGCUUGAUAAGAGGAAGAUGCUGUUAAAAUUUCAUAGGUUUUGGAGGUCGCCGGAAUUGACCUCCGGCCGCCGCCGGUUGGGAGAUUUUAAUGUUGUUAAAUUUGGAAUAUUAAGGGGAGUUUAUUGAAGUGAGUUAUGGAAUUUUUGGAUGAGUUUUGGAUAGGUUUAUGAAUUUCCGAAGUGUGGUAUUUUUGGCGGGUAAUUAAUGUAGAAUCCGGCCGUUGGAUUUAAGUCGUAUUUUGGAGAGGUUGUAUUUACGACUGUGGAGUAUGAUAUUUAAGUUCGGAUCGUCCGAUGUAAGAAUAUCGAAGUUAGGCAAUAAUGAGCGUAAUUAUGGCUCUCGGGUAAUUUUNNNNNNNNNNNNNNNNNNNNAAUAUUGGAUAUUGGUUGGGAAAUUAAUAAUUAUAUUUGGAACAGGACGUGAAGAGGCUCGAGCAGACGAGACCCAGAUUGACAUCAGGCUUAGGCCUAAUUCGUGAGUGGUACGUUUAUUUUAAAUAAAUGCAUGCUAUAGUUCAUGGUUGAACAAUUAAUAUUGCGGAAUAUUUUAACGUCAUUUUAAUUUGACGAUUUUUAUUUUCUCUUGGAGAGCUACCGAAAAUGGGAUUUUCGGUGAAUAUAAAUAUGUAUUUAUGAGAGAGUAUGUAUAUAAAUGCUAGCUAGCCAUAUGUGUCUGUCCACCUUAAUGGCGUAGCAUAUAGCCGCAUUAUGGUGUGACGUGAGCGUUGGACGUAAGCGUAGUAGCCCUAUAUGAGUUGUUUAAUUCAUAUAGGGGGGUAUGGACACAUAUUUAUACACCCGUCUGUCCACCUUGAUAGCGUAGUGUAGCACCGCAUUAAGGCGUGACGUGAGCGUUGGACGCGAGCGUAGUAGCCCUAUAUAGACCCAUGAAUUUAUAUAGGGAGUAUGGACGAGUAGUAAAUACAUACAUAUAUUAUAGAAUCUGAGAGGCUCGAUAUUUAUGGGAUAAAGGUUUUAUCGCUUGCGGCAUGCACUCGAUUUUCCUUAGAAUUAAUUGGGGAAACAUAAAUAUUUUAUUUAUUAAUUUAUUUUUUGUCCACUCACUCUAACGUUAUUAAAUGUUUUCCCCUGGGCCCUUCGUUUUAAAUUGCCCAGUCUGCAGAGUUCGGGUUGGAUCUAGUAGGAGACGAGGCAUAGUCACCCGCUUUUCGGCCAGUUUUCGCCAGUAGGUUGCCUGUUCAACCUACUCGUAUUUUCUUGCUUCCGCUUGUGUUUAGUAGCUCUGAAUACUUUAGAAUUUUUGUAUAUUAUGCGAUGUUCAGAAGUGUAAUAUGAAAUUUUCGAGUUAGGGUUGUCCAUCUACAAGGGAGAUUUUCUUAAUCUUUUCAGUAAAUUUUCCUUGGAGGUGGUCCCCGCACGACUUACUCUGGGUUUCAGGGUGAAACUCGGGGUGGGUCGUGUCAAGGAGGGCUACAAAACGAGCCAAGGAUCGCCGGUUUUAGUGGCCGGAGGAGGGAGCUCCGGCGAGUGAAUCACCACGGCUUCUUGCCGUGAUAACUUGAAAUUUCCGACGGGAGAGGGGCUGUCACCAACUCAGGGCUGGAGAGGGAAGGACAGGGGUCCAAACGAGACCGGUCCGGCGUCCUGGCUCGGCCGGUCGACGGCGGCAAGAGCUGGAGAAAAACCGGACACUGGAGAGGUCGGGAGAGGCUGGGAGGAGAGAAGAAAAAGAGAAGAGGAAGAGAAGAAAAAAGAGAAGGGAAGAAUGGCUUUGGGCCUCACACCCCCAAACCGGGCCAACAACCUUAUACACCAAAACCCAACUCUAAAAUUUACACCCCAAAAUAAAAUACCCUAUUAAAAAUUACCUUUUAUUAGCUAAAAUUUACCAUUUUCACCGUCGUUAUAUUUUCUCCUACGAAUCACUCUCUGAAAUAAUCGUCCCCCAAAAUCCCACUAGGGACCAAUUAAACUAUAACUUCAUUGACGGAGACGGUAAAAUUCUUAUUAUAAUCAAGCUAGUAAAUAAGGUAAAAAUUUAAGGGUCCGGAUGUGACACGUACUCCUCGAAAACAGACUAGGGUGAAUUGCCAAGCUAGAUUUCGGAUCAAUUACACUGAUGGGUGUAGAGUUUAUAUGGUGAAGAUAUUCGUUCCAGAGCAUAAUCAUGAACUAGCUACUGGGAACCAGAUUGCAUUCGUUUAUGCUCAUCGUCAUGUCAGCGACGCAGCUUUGGCUCUGACAAACACAAUGACAAGGGUUUCAAUUAGACCAUGUCACACAUAUGAGUAUAUGGUGGAGCAGGCUGGGGGAUAUUCGGUAGUGGGAUUCACCAUGAAGGACCUCUACAACAAGCUUGACCAACAACGACGGACCUCCCUAUUUGAGAGUGAUUCCAAAGGAGCGCUUUCCUACAUGAGAGCACUGGCAGCAAAAGACCCACACUUCAUAUGCAGAUUCACUACAGAUUUGGAAGACAGGUUAGUGGACAUUUUUUGGCGAGAUGGCAUUCAUUUGUUGAUUAUCAGUGUUAUGGGGAUGUGCUGAUAUUCGAUAGCACAUACAAAACCAACAAGCCAUUGGUUAUGUUUGUUGGGUCGAACAACCAUCGAGGUAGUAUUAUUUUCGGUGCUGCCCUUAUUUCGGAUGAGACUGAGGAGACAUACACUUGGUUGCUUCGUACAUUUUUGGAGUCGAUGAACGGGAAGAUGGCAAAGGCGGUACUCACAGACAGUGACGAGGCCAUGCGUAAGGCAAUUGAAACUGUGAUGCCGGAAGCAAGGCACCGUCUAUGUAUUUGGCACAUAGGUAAAAAUGCCUUUACCCACUUAAAGUCUGAGGAAAAGUUGAAGGCUUUUAACAGAUGCGUGAGGAAGAAUCAAACAGUUGAGCAAUUUGAAAGGUUGUGGCAGGAAAUGAUUGACGAACUUGAUCUCCAUGACGAUAUUUGGAUCAGGAAUAUGUAUGAAAAGAGAGACAAGUUUUGUCAAGCAUUCAUCGGUGACAUAUUUAUGGCCGGAAUGAGAAGCACACAAAUGUGUGAGGGCAUGAAUAAAGAAUUCAAGAGGGUGCUUAGUAAAGGGAAAUCCCUUGUGGAGCUUGUUGCGUUGGUGUACAGAUUACUUAUGAAACUGAGACACAAUCAAGAAAGGGAUGAAUUCAUCUAUAUGAAUUCCUUUCCUGGUGCCGUAACUCACUUGGUAGAUUUGGAGAUACAAGCCUCUUCUAUAUUCACACACGAUGUGUUUAAAUGGAUUGUAAGAGAGAUCAAGAAAAAGAGCUUUAAUACACUAAAGCAAGGAGCAGAAUGUCAUGAAGAUGGUAGUCGUGUUUACAAGCUAUCAGUAUACAAACGGCCUGAAUUUGACCACACUGUUGUUCUUGGUGCCGUAACUCACUUGGUAGAUUUGGAGAUACAAGCCUCUUCUAUAUUCACACACGAUGUGUUUAAGUGGAUUGUAAGAGAAAUCAAGAAAGAGAGCUUUAUUACACUAAAGCAAGGAGCAGAAUGUCAUGAAGAUGGUAGUCGUGUUUACAAGGUAUCAGUACACAAACGGCCUGAAUUUGACCACACUAUUGUUUACCACCCUGAGAAAGAGACUGACAGUGCAAAAGACUCGAUUAUGCUGUGUUCUUGCAGAAUUAAUGUUUCAGUACGGGGGAGUACCAUGUCGUCACAUGUUCACGGUGAUGAAAAAGAACACAUUUUUGAGCUUCACAAGUCACUGAUCGUCAAGAGAUGGUCAAAAGACGCAAGAACUGUGUGUGAGAUCCCUUAUCCAGAUCAAUCUAUGCCUAGAGAAGCAUUGGAAGUGAGCAAGUAUGGUGCUCUAACUGCCGAAUGCAAUCGAUUGUGCUUUUAUGCUUCAAAGACAGAUGCAGGGUACAACUUGUUGCAGAAGGAGAUCAGUUGUCACAUCCCGACCCUUAUAUUUUUACCUUAUUUACUAGCGUGAUUAUAAUAAGAAUUUUUACCGUCUCGAUCUUUGAGUUAAUAGUUUAAUUGGUCCCUAGAGGGGUUUCGGGGACGAUUAUGUGCGGAGGAUUAUUCGUAUGAGGAAAAUAUGACGACGGUAAAAAUAGUAAAUUUAGCUAGUAAAAGGUAAUUUUUAUUCGGGUAUUAUUUUUUGGGGUGUUUUAUUUGUAGGAGUUGGGUAUUUUAGUAUUGUUGGACCGGGUGUAGAGGCCCAUUUCUCUUUUCUCUUUUUCUCCUCUUUUCUCCUCCCGGUUCUCUCUCCCCCGAGCUUUCCCGCCGUCCGGAAUUCCGACCGCCAGACCGCCGCCGUCCGGCCGCCCCAGACCCAAUCGAUCGGUCUCUGACCCAGCUAUCUUCUAGGACCGGUAGCAGCCCCCCUAGCGCCGCCGUGAGAGAGCGGUGCCGCCCGAAAGGAUAGGCUGCCCCGAACUUCCGGUCGCCAGAACUCCCUCCUCCGGCCACCAAUCUGGGCAAGCUUGGUACGGUUUUGUAGCCCUCCUCCCGUGCAGCAACCCCUCCAAGCAGCUCCCUCCCUCUUGAGCUAGGUAAGGAGAAAUGUGGAGUUGAAAUUUCUAGGGCUUUUAAGUCGUUUUCGUUCGAUUAGCCUAGUUAGGCUUGGAAUUGGGUGAUGUGUUGGUCAUGAAAGUUGUACAGGAGAUUGAGAGGAAGAUUCUGUUAAAAUUUGGUAGCAUUUGCAGGUCGUCGGAGUUGGUCGCCGGCCGCCGCUGCCGGCGGAGCCGCCGGCGGCGCCGCCGCUGUUUUGGGAAAUUUUGUGGUUUUUGAUGUAGAAUAUUAAGAGGAUAUUAUUGAGGUGAAUUUUGGAAUUUUUGGAUGAGAUUUGGAUAGGUUUGUGAAUUUCCGAAGUUUGGUAUUUUUGGCGGUUAAUUAAUGUAGAAUCCGGCCGUAGGAUUUAAGUCGUAUUUUGAGGAGGUGGUAUUUACGACUGUUGAGUAUGAUAUUUAAGUUCGGAUCGUUCCGAUUUAAGAUUAUCGAAGUUAGGCAAUGAUGAGCGUAUUUAUGGCUCUCGGGUAAUUUUUCCUAUUUUAAUUAAAUAUUGGAUUAUUGGUUGGGAAAUUAAUAUUAUAUUUAGAACAGGACGUGAGGAGGCUCGAGCAGACGAGGCCCCAGAUCGACAUCAGGCUUAGGCCUAAUUUGUGAGUGGACUUUUAUUUGAAAUAAUUUGCAUGCUAUGGUUCAUGAUUGAACAUUUCUUUUUGUUGGAGUAUUGACGUCAAUUAAUUUUGACGCUUUUAUUUCUCUUAGAGAGUUACCGAAAAUGGGAUUUUCGGUGAAUAUAAAUAUGUAUUUAUGAGAGAGUAUGUAUACAAAAUGCUAGCUAGCCAUAUGUGUCUGUCCACCUUAAUGGUGUAGCAUAUAGCCGCAUUAUGGUGUGACGUGAGCGUUGGACGUAAGCGUAGUAGCCCUAUUUGAGUGUUUAAUUCAGAUAGGGGGUAUGGACACAUAUUUAUACACCCGUCUGUCCACCUUGAUGGCGUAGUGUAGCACCGCAUUAAGGCGUGACGUGAGCGUUGGACGCGAGCGUAGUAGCCCUAUAUAGACCCAUGAAUUUAUAUAGGGAGUAUGGACGAGUGUAAAUACAUACAUAUAUUAUAGAGUCUGAGAGGCUCGAUAUUUUAUGGGAUAAAAGUUUUAUCGCUUGCGGCAUGCAUUCGAUUUUUCCUUAGAAAUUAAUUUGGGGAAACAUAAAUAUUUUAUUUAUUAUUUUAUUUUUUGUGCACUCACUCUAACGUUAUUAAAUGUUUUCCUCUGGGCCCUUCGUUUUAAAUUGCCCAGUCUGCAGAGUUCGGGUUGGAUCUAGUAGGAGACGAGGCAUAGUCACCCGCAUUUCUGCCAGUUUUCGCCAGUAGGUUACCUGUUCAACCUACUCGUGUUUUCUUGCUUCCGCUUGUGUUUAGUAGCUCUGAAUACUUUAGGAUUAUUGUAUAUUAUGGGUAGAAUUUCUGAAGGAUAAUUAUGUGAUGUUCGGAAGUGUUGAAUUAAGAGUGUAAUAUGAAAUUUUCGAGUUAGGGUUGUCCAUCUGCAAGGGAGAUUUUCUUAAUCUUUUCAGUAAAUUUUCCUUGGAGGUGGUCCCCGCACGACUUACUCUGGGUUUCAGGGUGAAAUUCGGGGUGGGUCGUGUCAUCAGUAGACUCUCAUCAAUUGUUGAAGGUUUUGCCAAAGAAAAAGAAAAAGUUCAAGCUCCGGCCACACCCAGCAAUAUGAAAGGUAAUGUUGUGAGAGACCCUAUCCCGGUUAGGACCAAAGGCAGAGAAAAAAUGACAAGAAGACUGAGGCUCCCAGACAACCGAUUACUUGUGGUUAUUGCCAAGGUAUUGGACACAACAGUCAAACAUGUAAUGUUAGGAAGGAGAAAGAAAAAGCUGAGAAGAGCAAUGAAAAUGAUGAACGAAACACUGACCCUCGUCCUUCAGUUGCAACACCUGGAAAGAGAUCCUAUGGUUAUUGCAAACGAUCUGGACACAAUACUCAAACAUGUGAUGUUAGGAAAGAGAAAGAAAAAGCUGAGAAGACAAACGAAAAUGUUGCGGGAACAAGCAAUGAUCCUCUUCCUUCGGUUGCGACACCUGCAAAGAAAACUAUUCACUGUAGUACGUGCAAAGGAGCCGAGCACACACACUGUAGAUGCCUAAAAAAAACAAUAAAAGGAGACGCCUCCCCCACAUCUGAGGAGUGAUUCCUUAUUCUGGUGAUAUAGGUGCCGAUUUUAGUUAUAGUUGUAGUUCAAAUUUCUUGUACUCUGUGUUUGGCAUUUCAUUUUACUUUUCAGUAAUGUCAACGUGAAUUUAGAUUUUACUUUAGAUUUCCUUGUUUUGUUUUUGCUUUGUGAAUGGUCUAUCUCGCCGUAGGACACUUUUUCAAAAAGUCUACAUGAAGUAAAAAAACUUUCCUAAGAGAAGUAGAUGAUUAUGUAAUAACUAUAGAGCUAAUAAGGUAAUACUACGGAGAACACAUCUCCAGAAAGUCUACAUUGUAUCAUGCUUUUAUCAUAAACGAAGAGUAGAACGUCUUUGCAGAAAAAGUAGCCCAUUCAAUACUGUCGAACAAUUAUCAUCCACUAUUGGUAAGGUUUACGAUGAUGGAGCACUAGUAACCUUGCAUAAAUAUAGGCUGUAAACUGAAAUAUAUUGAUGUAAGUAGAUGGUAAUGAUGCACAUAAUUAUUACAAUGGACAUAAUUAAUGAUUAUUAUAAAUACAUGGAUUAUUUUAUGUUAAUAAAAACACACGGAAUUUAAUGCAAAAUUCAUUCCAGUAGACCAAUAAGGAAAUUAUUCCUAUUUGGGAUUAGGGUUUGUGAUGAUGGAUAAAGCACUAGUAACCUUGCAUUUAUAUAGGGUUAUUUUAUGAUGAUCGAGCUCUCUAGUCACCUGUAGUGUACAAUGGGUGUAGGGUUUAUGAUGAUGAAGCCUCACUAUUCUUAUAUACCUGAUGGACCAUAUAGAUGUCAUUUUAGCUUUUUAGUGUCGAGAAGCACAUUGUAAGUAAUCUCCUACUUGUUAUGGGAUUUCCACCCCAUGAUUUAUUUUAUGUUCACUAAGAUGGACCCCCAUAUCAAAUUCAUUUUAUAUGUUCACUACGCUUAUAUAUGCCGCAAUAUCAUAUAUGUUCAGAGAGAGAGAGAGAGAGAGAGAGAGAGAGAGAGAGAGAGAGAGAGAGAGAGAGAGAGAGAGAGAGAGACGACGACGACGACGACGUACGUACGUACGUACGUACNNNNNNNNNNNNNNNNNNNNGAGAGAGAGAGAGAGAUGGCAGAGCACGACCUAACCCCGCAUUGUAUCAAUAUGCCAAAUUUCAGUUUGAGUGCGGUAACUAAUCUGGUGCUGUUGAUUAUCUGUUUCAGUACAGGGCUUUAUGCACCAACAGCGAGAGGAGUCUCAGUGCUUUGUGGGGAAAGCUGGCAGCUGAGAUAUUGAUGCAAAACUGGGAUAUUGCUCUUGAGGAGCUUAACCGCCUCAAGGAAAUUAUUGAUUCCAAGAAUUUCAGUUCGCCCCUGAUUCAGGAGUUUUUGACAUGUGUUUAUGUUAAUUAUGGCAUGUGUUUAUGUGAUAUUGAAUGAUCCCUUCCUUGGAAAGCGAGUUGAAGAAGGCAAUUUCACUAUUGUACCAUUGAGGGAUGAAUUCCUUGAAAAUGCUCGUCUAUUUAUCCCUUAUCUUUGAGUCUUACUGCCGCAUACAUCAGCGCAUUUCCUUCAUCUAGACUGAGAUUUGAAUUACUAGAGGUUUUGUUGACUUGUAAGUAGAGGUUUUCAUUAGUAACAUGAGGUUUGUCAGAUCAGACUGUAAUUUACUUCCCCAUGAUUUAUUUGUCUGUACUUUUGGAGGUAAUGUGUAUGGAAAUUAUUUUCUUAAAAAAAAAUGCUUCAUUUUAGGGCUUGAGUUUAAUGUAUAUAGUGUUUAUGAUCGAUGAUGGAGCUAAUGUCAUCUAUCCCGUAUAUAGGGUUUUAGGUUUAUAAUCUUGGUAUAAUCUUCUAGGUAGUGUGACCUUUAAAGUAUGAUCGAACAUGCUUAUAUAUAGUAAACUCCUACUUGUAUCGGGAUUUCCACUUCGAUCACAAUUAUAUCUUCAUUAUGCUUAUAUAUGUUGUGAUCGAUGGACAAUAUAACAUUCAUUUACUAGUACAAUGCUUGACUUUAGUUCUUGAGUUUCAUUGUAUAUAGUGCUUAUGAUGAUCGAACUAACGUCACCUAUCGUGUAUAUAGCAUUUGAUGUUUAUAAUGUUAGAGCUAACAUCACCUUAAAGUAUGUACGGUUUCAGAUGUCGUUUAUAAUGUUUAAGGUUUACUCUCUAUAUAGUAUCUGGAACACUUUGGACAUAUCCGCUCAAGGUUCUAAAAAACGUUGGGCACUAGUCGGGCGGACAGCGCCCAAAAGAUUAAUCGGGGAUUAAUCGGUUUUCUAUUUUUGUAUUUAUUUUAAUUUUUUAAUACCAAAUAAUUAUCUAAUACAAUUAAAAUUACAAUUGACAUGUAAUUAUAUAAUUAUUAAUACAAUUAUUUUGGUUGAAAAGUCAAUUUACAUGUCUCAUUAAAUUUGAGUGUAGUUAUUUAGAUUAAAUCUGAUAAGUAAUUAAAUAUACAUUUGGGUAGUAUUGAUUAAAUUAAGAAAAAGACAAAAAUUAUUGGAUGUAUAGGCCCAAAGGGAGAGCCCAACAAUUUAACCCAUUGCUAAGUCAAUUUUCCCUACACAUCUUUAUCCCUUCCGCCUCCUCUUUCGCUUCUGCUGCAUUGUCCUUCUCUUCUGCAAAGCUGCAAACAUCGUCCCUCCUCCUCUCAUGACCACCGCCCACCGCAUCUAGGACUCCAGGUCAGCCCCUUCCUCGUCGUCCUCUGCUCCUCUCUUCUUCCCCAUUCAAUUGCACCAAAAUCCCAGAUUUCAGUUACUGAAAUCCGAUAAAAAAAAAAAAAAAAACUAGUCGGCGCUCCGCCCAGCCCCGCCUAGGCGGCCACAAAACGGCCGGCCGACUACACCAGGCGAUUUGCCUGAAAUCGGGGCGGCUUACGGGCUCCGGGCGCCCAGGCGGCGCCUAGGCCGUUUUUUAGAACAUUGUAUCCGCUACCAAUGUCGGUUUAGGGUUUAGGGGUUAGGGUUUGUGUGCAAGAUAAAGUAAGCAUAAGCACAGUCAAAACCAGAAAUUAUAACCCUUGACUUCGAUAGAAGAGUACACUUGUCUCUCUAUUUGUGUAGUAGGCGUGAUUUUUGAAAUUUCUUUUUUCCAAAAUCUUCCUUCACGCGUUUGAAAUUUGAAAUUUGGACUUGGAUAGGCGGGCAUUUAGUGGCUAAAAAUUUGAGUUUUCAUUUUCCCUUUCAUUUUCAUUUAGCGGGACUUUCCAUAUUCAUCUCGAAUUUUGUAUUGAAACUGAAAGGGUUUUAGACGCCACACAUAACCCUAACCCUAAACAAGCAGUAUAAACCGCCCCGAUGUAAAAUUCUCUGCAACUCAUGUUCUCUUCUCUCUAAACUCCAAAUUGUGAACGAACGUUUCAGAAGCCAUGGCCCGGCAAAAGCUGACCACUCACAUGACCGGUAUUCCUCGUUACCCUCAUGGUGCUUCACCUCCGGUGAUUGAAAUUAGCCAUAGCUCCCCCUCUCAUGGUGCUUCACCUUCAAGGUCUUCAUCUUUAGAUGCAGUUCGAUGCAUUACACCCGUUCUUGCGGUAUAUACUGGUUGCUCUAUUUUGUUCAUUUGUUUAUUGCUUUCUUAAUUUGUUGCUAAAUUGGAUUGUCAAUUGAUUAUGAAAUUAUGUAUGCAAGGACUCGUCAUCUUCCUCGCCUUCUCGUUCGUGUUCUGAGAGAGGCACAUCAUCUAAGAGGGCUAGGCUCUCCCCCACACCAUCCCAUAAAGGCAAUGGCAAAGCUAUUCAGAUAUGUAUAAGUCUGGAAAUCUGUUUAUCUGUCCUGAAAUGGUUUCUGAAUAUAUGUCAAGACCCACCUCAAAUUUUACCCUAAAACCUGGAGUAAACCUGAAAAAUUCGGCAUAACCUCCAUUGUAAUUGGACAGCCAUAUAACAACACAUCCAACCUCAACACCUGGAGCGACCCGCUCCCCCACAACACAUCCACCACACACAAAAAAUAAUAUCAUCUUCAAACCCAACACAUAAAUAUCCAAUUUAUAUCAUACACCAUCAUUUGGAUUGACACGACCCACCCCGAAUUUCACCCUGAAACCUGGAGUAAGUCGAGCGGGGACCACCUCCAAGGAAAAUUUACUGAAAGGAUUGAUAAAAUCUCCCUUGAAAAUGGACAACCCUAACUCGAAAAUUCCAAAAUACACUUUUAAUACAACACGUCCAAACAUCACAUAAUUAACCUUCAGAAAUUCUAAACAUAAAUUACAAUAAUCCCAAAGUAUUCAGAGCUACUAGACACUAGCGGAAGCAAGAAAACACGAGUAGGUUAAACAUGUAACCUACUGAUGAAAACUGGCGGAAAUGCGGGUGACUAUGCCUCGCCUCCUACUAGAUCCAACCCGAACUCUGCAGACUGGGCAAUUUAAAACGAAGAGCCCAGGGGAAAACAUGUGGAACAGUUAGAGUGAGUGGACAAAACUAAAUUAAAAUAAAAGUAUUUCUUUAUGCUUCCCCAAUUUAAUUUCCAAAUAAAAUAAUGCUGCAUGCAAUCGCUCAAAAGCGCUCAACUCAAAAACUGGUAACUUCACGACCAGCACCGGCUAGUCUCCAAAACUUAAUAAAAUACAACCUCUCAGGCUAAAUUAUAUAUAAACAUAUAUAAGUGUAUGUAUUUACACUCGUCAGACUCCUUGUAUGAAUUCUAAGAACAAAUUCGAAAAAUAGAAAUUCAUACAAGGCUACUACGCUUGCGUCUAACGCUCACGUCACACCAUAAUGGAAUUGUACCUCAGUAUGGCGGAAAAAGCAUGAGUGUAUAUACGUGUGGACUCCCUAUAUGAAAACCUAAAUAAACCAAAUAAGAAAAUAGUUUUCAUAUAGGGCUACUACGCUUGUGUCUAACACUCACGUCACAACAUAAUAGUAUUUUACCUCAUUAUGGCGGAUCAAACACGUAUGGCUAGCUAGCAUUUAUAUAUACAGACUAUCAUCAUAAACAUCCAAUAAACAUAUCCACCGAAAAUCUCAUUUUCGAGAUCUCUCCAAAGGAGGAAAAUUGCCAAAUAUCCGAGAAACAAAUAAAUCUCAGGAAAAGAAAUAAAUGAUCAACAGAUAAUUCAUCGCAUGCUUUUCAAUUAAAAUAAAGGUCCACUCACAAAUUAGGCCUAAGCCUGAUGACGCUCCGAGGCUUCCUCUGCUCGGGCCUCCUCUCGUCCUGUUCCAAAUAUAUAAUUAAUUUCCCACCAAAAAUCUAAUAAUUAAACAAAAUGGGCAAAAUUAAACGUGAGCCUCCCAUACACUCAUCAUUACCCAAAUUCGCCAUUCUUAACUCAAUACGGCUCAAACUUUGCCGAACAUACCGGCAGCCGUAAAAACAGCUUCCCACAGAAUACGACUUAAAUCCUACGGCCGGAUUCUACAUUAAUUAACCGUCAAAAAAUACCAAACUUCGGAAAUUCACAAACCUAUCCAAAACUCAUCCAAAAAUUCCAUAACUCACUUCAAUAAACUCCCCUUAAUAUUCCAAAUCUAAAAACAUUAAAAUCUCCCAAACAGCUCCGGCGCCAGCGCCGGCUCCGCCGGCAGCGGCGGCCGGAGGCCGAUUCCGGUGACCUCCAAUUUCUACCAAAUUUUAACAGAAUAAUCCUCUUAUCAAGCACAAGAACUUUCCUAACUAGCACUUAGUCCAAUUCUAAGGCUAACUAGGGUAAUCGACUAAAAACAUCCAAAAAUCCCUAGAACUUCAAUUAUACAUUUCUCCAUAACCACAACGAGAUAGACUUAUUCCUUUUGGGGGGAUACUCACCUUGGUGAGAGCUACAAAAUGAGCUAAAUAUUGCGAGUUUUGGUGGCCAAAAAUGGGAUUUCUGGCGAAAUGCUUCCCGGCGUCUCCAGCGGGUUUUCUCCUCUUCUGACGGGUUAGAGGCUCGGGGGCUAGGCCGGGGAGGGAGAGGAGGAGAUGGGGGUCCGAACAGGGCUGGAGCAGCGGCCGGACGGCGGCAGCUGGUGGCUGGGAGCUUCCGGCGGAGAGGGGCUCUAGGAGCUCAGGGAAAGAGGGAAGGGAGAAAGAGAGAGAGUGAAGGAGGAUAUGGGCUGCUCACACCCGGUCCAUAACCCUUAAACCCAACAAAUUUUACCCACUAAAAAAAAAUACCUUUUUUUACCACCUCAAAAUUUACUCUUUUAGAUAAUAACUUUUUCAUGCUAACUCUGAUUUUAACACAUAGCAUGUCUACGAACUCGUAUUAACGUCUUCUACAACUUUCAUGAAGAAAGUUUCUCCAAAUUCUAAACGAAAAAUAAAGUCAACUUUAGGGUCCUUAGGUAGUAAACGGUUAUUCAACACGGUAAAAGACUAAAAUAAUACCAAAGUAAAUAACCGUAAAAUAACUUAAGAACCGGGGUGUGACAUGGAUAACUCUCAAAUUAAUAAACAAAGACUUAGCACACAACCGAACUAUUAUACAAAUAAUCCCAAGGUAAUCAGAGCUACUAAACACUAGCGAAAACAAGAAAAUAUGGUAGUAGGUUAACAGGUAACCUACUGAUGAAAGGUGGAAGAGAUGCAUGUCGGUGACUAUGCCUCGCCUCUGACUAGUGCCAACCCGAACUCUGCAGAUUGGGCAUUUUAAAACGAAGUGCCCAGGGGAAACAUUUGAAACCGUUAGAGUGAGUGGACAAAAAUAAAUUAACUACUUUUUGAAGUACCACUACUUUUUGAAAACAAUCUACCAUAGCUCUAUAUGCUUCCAAAAAGUUCAUUCCCAAGAUCACAUCAAACUCCACUAUACCUAAAGGAAUUAAAUCGGCCUUGAAAUUAACUCCUUCUACUAAAACUUCACAACCACUAAACACCCAAUUUAUCCUCAUCACCUCACCGGAGGGUAGAGACACAUGCCACUCACCUGGAAGAGACGAUGAUGGCACAUUGGCAUAGAGGGCAAAUCUACUAGACAUAAAUGAAUGCGUGGCUCCGGGAUCAAUUAAAGUAAAAGCAGGCUGGCCAAAAAUUAAUAACGUACCAAUGAUGACAUCUAGAGAAGUACGACCUUCCUGCUGGGUCAUAGCAUGCAAUCUAGCGCGAGUCAUGGGACGUCCACGCUGACCACCACCCUGCAGAGAGCUACCACUGGCCGAUGCACUGCCCUGGGCACCACUAAUGGAGCCUCUAGAUGAAGACUGACCAACUGGCUGAGUAGGGAUAGGGGUGGUCCUCUGAGCCAACAAUGGACAAUCUCUCCUGAAGUGGUCUUGACCACCACACUCAAAACAUCCAGAAAAUUGCUAUUGCCCAAAAGAAAACGUCUGACUACUGGAGGACCCACCAUGGAAGCUGCCACUAGAACCAUACUGACCAGACUGCUGCCUACCCAAAUGACUCCGAGAAGAUCUCCUGAAACGUCCUUUAUUCCUGUUUCGAGCACCAGAACUCGAUCCCCCACUACCGUCACUACCAGCAGAAGACCCAAAAGCGGAUGAUGAAGCAACCUUCUUGGAUGGACCUUGACUGGGGCCACUGUAAUCACAGGGCCGAGUACCAUGUGUCCUCAUGUUCUCAAUGGCCAUGGCUGCACUAACCGCAUCCAUAAAGGUCAAGUAAAUUACACCCGUCAUCUUAUCUACAGACACACCACCAACUGCCCCAACGAACAUCUCAAUCCUAGUCCUCUCAUCCGGAACCAGGUAUUGCACAUGAUAGGUCAGGGAAGUGAAUCUCUGCUCAAACUCUAUGACCCCCUCAUUAUCCCUCUUCUGAAUGUUCAGGAAAUCUGACUGUAUCCUACUGCGGUGGCCAUGUUUGAAAUACUGCCCUAAGAAGAGCGUCUUAAACUGCUCCUAUGUCAUAUUCUGAGCAUCCUCAACAUUCCUGCUGGCAAGCGACCACCAGUGAUGGGCUGAAUCAUCCAGAAAAGUCAUUGCCAUAUUCACUUUCUUAUCUUCUGGCAACCCAGUGCUGUCAAAAGCCUUCUCCAUCUUGUCUACCCAAUUAUAAGCAUCAAGGGUCCCUUGGCACCCUUGAACUCCCUUGCUCCACCUUCAUAAACAUCCUUUUUCUUCACAGUCCAAGGGUUCUGAGUCCGCUCUAGCACUCCCCUCAACAUAUCUCCAAUAGAAUUUACUAGCUCCCUGACCUCAUUGCCCUCAUUGGCGUUGGUCGAACUACCCUCACGGGGUUGGCGUUGGCAUCUAGGAGGCAUAGUACCUGAGGAAGAAGAUAUUUAGUAGUCUAUAAACAAGACUAACACAACUAUCACACAUACCCAAUAACAAAUAGCAUCCAAAGCAUAAACUGCCAAUGAAUCUGCCGCGGUCGGAUCAUCACUCUAUAGACACUACGUGCUACUUAGGUAAAUAUGAUAGUGACAAGGAGGUAGGAAAUGAAACCUAAAGCUCUGAUACCAACUAUCAAGACCCACCCCAAAUUUUAUCCUAAAACCUGGAGUAAGUCCUGCGGGACCACCUCCAAGGAAAAUUUACCGAAAAAUUUGGUAUAACCUCUCUUGAAAAUGGACAACCUUAUCCUGAAAAAAAUUCAGAUAACACUCCUAUACCAACACAUCUAACCUCAACACCUGGAGCCACCUGCUCCCCACAACACAUCCACCACACACAAAAAAAAUAUCAUCUUCUAAUCCAACACAUAAAUAUCCAAUUUACAUCAUACACCAUCCUUUGGAUAACUCCCAAAUUAAUAAACAAAGACUUAGCACACAAUCGAACUAUUAUACAAAUAAUCUCAAGGUAAUCAGAGCUACUAAACACUAGCGGAAACAAGAAAAUAUGGUAAUAGGUUAACAAGUAACCUAGUGAUGAAAGGUGGAAGAGAUGUGGGUGAUUAUGCCUCGCCUCUGACUAAUGCCAACCUGAACUCUGCAGACUGGGCAUUUUAAAACGAAGGGCCCAGGGGAAAACAUUUGAAACCGUUAGAGUGAGUGGACAAAAAUAAAUUAAUAAAUAAAAUAUUUAUGCAUUCCCAUUUGAAUUUCCAAAGAAAUUAUGUUGCAUGCGAAAAUUCUAAAGUGCUCAACCCAUACCCUGGCAAUUUCAUGACUAGCUCUGGCUAGUCUCCAAACUCAAUAAACUGGAGCCUCUUAGGCUAAAGUAUAUAUAAACAUAUAUGUGUAUGUAUUUACACUCAUCAGACUCCUUGUAUGAAUUUUAUGAACAAAUUUGAAAAGUAGAAAUUCAUACCAGGCUACGACGCUUGCGUCUAACACCCACGUCGCUCCCUAAUGGAAUUUUUCCUCAUUAUGACCGAAGAGGACGUUUGUAUAUAUACGUGUGGACUCCCUAUAUGAAAACCUAUAUAAACCAGAAAAGAAAGUAGUUUUCAUAUAGGGCUAUGACGCUUAUGUCUAACACUGACGUCACGCCAUAAUGGUAUUUUACCUCAUUAUGAUGGACCAAGCACGUAUGACUAGCUACCAUUUAUAUACAUACUAUACUCAUAAACAUCCAAAAUACAUAUCCAUCGAAAAUCUCAUUUUAGGGAACUUUCCAAAGGAGGAAAAUUGUCAAAUAUUCGAGAAAGAAAUAAAUCUCAUCAGAAGAAAUAAAUGAUCAACAGAAUAAUUCAUCGCAUGCUUUUCAAUUAAAACCAAGGUCCACUCACAAAUUAGGCCUAAGCCUAAUGUCGCUCCGAGGCUUUUUCUGCUCAGGCCUUCUCUCGUCCUGUUCCAAAUGUAAUAUUAAUUUCCCAACCAAAAAAUCAAAAAACUUACACAAAAUAGGCAAAAUUAACCGAGAGCCAUAAACACGCUCAUCAAUGCCUAACUUCGAUACGGUCCACACCUCAACACUUAAACCAGCAGCCUUAACUACACCCUUCCACAGAUUUUACGACUUAAAUCCAACGGCCGGAUUCUACCGUAUUAAUCCACCACAAUUACUAAACUUUAAAAAUUCCCACAUCUAUCGAAAACUCCUCCAAAAAUUCUAAAAUUCACAUCAAUAACUCCUAUUAAUAUAACCAAUCAAAAACCAUGAAAAUCCCCUAAAUAGCGGUGGCCGGAGGCCAACUCUGGCGACCUCCAAAGCCUACCAAAUUUUAAUAGCAACUUCCUUUCAACUCCCUCUACAACUUUCUUAACCAGCACAACACCCAAUUCUAAGCCUAACCAUGCCAAUCGAACGAAAACAUCCUAGAAAACGCUAGAGCUUCAACACCAUUACCUCCUUACCUAGCUCAAGAGAGAGUGAGACCUUUGGAGGGGUUGCUGCACGGGAGGAGGGCUUUCUUUUGAGCCAAGCAGCUCCGGCUUUGGUGGCCGGAGAAGAGAGUUCCAGCGACGGAACCACCACGGCAGUCGGACCUUUCGGGGGAGAGAACUCCUUCACGGCGGAGCUAGGGCGGCUCUCACCGGCCUAGAAUGGAAGUUGGGUCGGAGGCCGACUGUUUGGAACCGGAGCGGCGGCCUACGGUGGCCGGAUUGCGGCGAACUGAGGGGGGGAAAAUCCGGCAGAGAAGAGGACUCGGGGGAGGGAAAUCGGGAGAGAAGAGAGAGAAGUGAGGGGAGUGAUGUGGGCUUUUCCAACCGGUCCAACACCUUAUGCAAAACCAACUCCAUAAAUUUACACCCCAAAAUAAUACCCUAAUAAAAAUUACUUUUUACUAGCCAAAAUUUACCAUUUUUACCGUCGACACAUUUUUCUCCUACGAAUAAUUCUCCGAAAUAAUCGUCCCCCAAAACCCCGCUAGGGACCAUUUAAACUAUAAACUCAUUUAAACUAUAAGCUAGUAAAUAAGGUAAAGAUUUAAGGGUCGAGAUGUGACAAUAUAUUUCUCAAUUGAUUUAUGAAUUUAUGUAUGCAAGGACUCGUCAUCUUCCUCGCCUUCUCGUAAAAAACUAUCAGAAUCGCUUGAUUCAUUCGUACGGCGGACUCAUGAAGGGAUACCUAGAUAUGUACACCGCCCUCUUAGCCCCCCACCCUCACGCCCCAUGACAAUGAUGGACGCCGUUGCUGCCCUUGAAGAUGUCCUAGCUCAGAUUUACAUGUUAACUUCAUCUGUCAAUGCAAUUAAGUGUAAUAUUGAAGACCGAAUCAACAAGGCAGCCCGAAAGUAAUCUAGGGAGAGGAGAGGAGUCAGCGUGAUCCUUGAUUUAGUGUUGAUCAGUUUGUAACAAUUUAUGUUUUGGUUAUGUUUCUUCAACAUCGGUUAUGUUUCGGCCACAAUUUCUGGAAAUCAUCAUGUGGUGGUGAUUAAUUAAUAUUCUAUCAGUCAGUCCUUUAUCGAUUGUGAUUUUGAAGGAAUUAGGGUUGAAUUUCAAUUCAGUUUCUGUUUAUGACUAGUCGUUUCGUGCAACGAUAUGUCAAGUUUGAAGAACCUACCUGUCACACCCCAAUUUUUGAAAGAUAAUUUUUCAAAAAUUUGGGCAUGAUAUACCUUAAAAUAUUAAAUCCCAAAACCUGUUUUCAAACUAACUUCAAAGAACUAAAACUCAAUGCGGAAAUGUAAAUGUCACACAACUCAACACCGAGUUAAAUAUUAUAUUUCCUUGUUUACAUAAACUUAAAAAUCAAGAAAAUGAAACCACUCACAUGAGUUUUAAUAAAGUCUACCCCAAAUAUAAAAACAAAUACAAUGUACAGCAAAACCCAACAAAAACCCUGCCACUAAGUCUCCGCUUCAACCCUGCUGAUCCUCACCUGCAAGUCUAACCCCUACACCAAGAAAUGGUGUAUCGGGUUGUAAACAACAAACUCGGUAAGCUAAAAAGCCCGUAUGAGUAAUUCUCAAAAUAACACCAAAACUUCCAAUUACCAAUUAUAACACAAGAGCAAUUUAUAUCAAUAAUUAAAAACCACAAAUCCAACAUUUUUCAAUUAACAUGUACCCAUGAGUCUCAGGUAUUAAUAAAUACCCCUCAUGACCUACAACAACGAAAUGUGUACCCAUGGGUCCCAGAUACCCUACCGUAUCUCCCAUGACCUACACUGACAGACGGACUAGAGCUCUAUUCCUAACCGCAACCAAUCACGCGGUCAAAGGCUUGGAACCCGGUUUGACAGUCUAAUAUCAAACACAAAAAUGAUAAAUAGCAUCUUAACAGCAACCAAUCACCCAAUUAUAGGCUUGGAACCCGGUUUGGCUAUUUAUCCAACAAUCACAAUAUCACAACAUUAUCCUCAACAACACAAUAUCCCAUCAUAAAUUAUAUCCUUCCACAUAGAUAUAUUUACAUGAACAAAAUAUAGAUAUUCCACAAGAAUAAUCUAUCAAUAAUCAAUAAAAUUAUGAUCACAUGAAUCUCAAAAAUUGCAUAUAAGGAAAACUUGUUUUAUCUUACCUAUGAGCCGUUGGCGAUCAAGCUCAUAUAUUUUAAAAAAGCAAUUAGAAAAACAUAUUAUUAAAUCCAACAUCAUCAUCAUUAUCAUCAUUACAUGACCAUAAUAACAUUUGGUUCAAAAGUGAACCUUAGUGAGAUUUACUCACCUAAAUAUCCCGCUGCAAAUUCCACAAGCCGACAUUAGCAAGCCCGAACACAACAUCACAAUUCAUCUAAAAUAACACAAUUAAAACCUUAGUAACUAAAAUACUAUAGGUUAACACAAUACCCUUAAACUAACCCUUAGUUCAAGGGAGGACAACUUUCCAAAGUCGUCAAACUUAGCAACCCAAAAUGGCUGCCUCUAAUCCUCAAACCCUAUCUCAACCUCAACCAAGCCUAAUAACAAACUUAAAGUCCUAACAUACAAACCUUGCUCACAACCUUGAAAUUCUACAUCUUCACAAGCUCACCACAAUCAGAGCUAGCUAAAACACAGCAAUCAAAGUCAAAACCACUGCCGGACGUGCUGCCAUGCGCCACCACAAGUGGCGGCGAGUGGUCUCCACGCGCCACCACAAACUUCCGAAUUUGAGAAAACUCUCAACAGCAAAGUUGAAGCUUGAAGAAAGGAGAACAACUUUCAUACCUGAGGCUUCAACCAAUUUUGGCCGGAACCGGCCAGAAACUGCCUCGAAACAGCUACCCGAAUUCAACUACAAAACCUGCAAAUCCGGCCUCAAAACCUCAAAAACUUGUUUCAAUCUAUGCCUAGCCACUACCAGGAGGAGGAGAGGAUCAAAACUCACCUAAGGAUGCCCCUCGUCGCCGCCAGAAACGGUAAAUCCGAUCAAAGACACAGCAGUCCUCUUUCCGGCAACAGAGCUCCGAUUCCAGCGUGCCACACCGAGCAGCAGGUGCCCAGCCUUGAAGAGAUCAAUUGUGGGAGUCGAACGGGACCGGGUGGCGUCCGGUUUGGUGGCCGGAGGAGCGAGAACUCGGCCGGAGAAGAGAGGGAGUUCAGGGGAGCUCGGGAGAGGAAGAGAGAGAAGAGAGUGAGGAGAGUGAGGUGAUUUUAGGGUUCCAAAAUAACUCCCACACACAUUUUUCUACUUAUACACUUUCCAAACCCGAAAACUAACUUCCUCUGACCAUAACUUUCUCAUACGACAUCCGUUUAAGGCGUGCCUCAUGUCUACGAACUCAUAUCGACAAACUCUACAACUUUCAUGAAGGAAGUUUUUGAAGAUAACUUACGGAAAAUAAGUCAACUUUUGGCCUUUUAAAAGUCAAGACACCUUAAAAUAAACUCCCGAAACUUCAACUUCGUAAAAACCAAAGAAUUUCCAUAAACAAUCCUUCAUUAAUUAAGGGAAUAAUACAAGGAAAAAUGAUAUGAAAAACUAGGGUAUUACCCUACCAACAUCUCAUUUCAUAGGUAAAACUGUUUUUAUAUGUCAAGGCUGCUAAUAUCAUAUGAAACGUUCAGCAAAAAAAGUAGACCAUCUUGACUUCACUAACUCGGUAAAUAUACUUGUUUACUUAUCAGAGGGUACCUUUUUAUGAACGGGAGUGUACUAAUUUGCAAUUCAAUAUUCAUGAAAAAAGUAGACCUAUUAGAUAGUGUUGUUUGGAAUUUUCGAUUCAAGAGUAAAAUUUUUUCAAGAAAGAGUAUUCAAUCCUCAUGCCACCACUCUGACCCAUAGUUAUGCAUGUGUUUGAUUGUAAAAUCCCACAAUCAGUUCCACCCUCCUGUUCUGGGGACUGAGCUGGCUAAAAUCAUGUCAAGUAUGCUAAAAUCAUGUGAAACGUUGAGCAACAAAAUUAGGCCAUCUUGCUUCACUGACUCGCUAAAUAGACUUGUUUACUGAUGAGAGGGUAAAUUCUUCCCAAAUUCUUAUGAACAAUAGUGUAGUAAUUUGCAAUUCAACGUUCAUGAAAAAAUUAGACCUAUUGUUAGACAGUGUUGUUGGGAAUUUCCGAUUGAAGAGUAAAUUUUUGUCAAGAAAGAGUAUAGAAUCCCUUGUAUUUUGUCAGAUAGUACCUUCAAACGAGGUGGUUUCUCAUUAAAUCAGUACACUAAGGCCGAGGAAAACCUCUUUCACAUUCCAUUGUAUCUACAGUCUUUUCGUUUCUUAAAAAAUAUUCCCAAAAAAAAACAAUACACUCCUUUCAACAUCUUGAAGAGGCCACUCCUCUAAUCAAGACGUGACUCUUUGGUACCUUAACCUUUAGUUUCAUUCCUCUAUAAAUACAAUGCUUCAAACAAUGAUUCCCACAUAUCUAACUUCUCUUCAUAAGUGUGCAGGGUAUCAUGGUUCGAAGAAACGAAAGAACUCAUGGUAGAAACUACAGUCCAUGGGAAACUCAUCAGCUCAAGUACCGUUUUGCUCUCCAAGAAAAGAAGAUUGCAGAACUUACACAACAUGUUUUUCAGAUCAACAUGCAACUUAUCGAAAUCCACAUAGCCUUGGGAUAUCUCACUAAAUCCAUUAUGGAGUUGGAGGCCAUAAGGGAUGCACCUCCCCCCGUAUUUAACAGACGUGGCUGUGUGCGCAUCAACGUGGCUUGGAGAGAUCCAGAAUCAAGCAUUCACCAGCGAAUGUAGACAUUUGUGGGAGUAUUGCUUAUGUGUUAUCUAGUACUUUUUUUUGUUGGUAUGUAAGUGCAUAAGCACAAGGAAAAAUUAAUGCUGGAUGCGUUCUCUUAUCUUAUCAAAUUGUAGUAUCUUUUCGUUAUUAAUGUCGGUCUGGGGUUUGAAUGCAUACUCUACUUUGUUAUAAUACUUCAGGAAAUCUACUUCUACAUAAAACUAAUAGACCUUGGCAUAAAACUAGUAGACUUGGCAUUUCAACAAAGUAAAUGUUUUCCGAAACAGGAUUUGGCAAUCGAUCAUGGGAUCGAUCAUAUACAAGUUAUAGUACUACCAGUAAUACCAAGAUCCUCAAAGGAACACACAAGCUCUACAAAUGGGAACGUACAGACUUAAGAGUACUAAUCUACAUUUAACAUCCUAAAUCUGACUUACAUUCAUAAACCAUCAUCACAUCAGUCCUUCUUAGGUGGGCCUCAAUUUCUUCGCCGGGGAUGCCUGGGGAGGCACUUCCGCAUACUGUGUUUAAGAAAUUAGAGAGGUCAUUAGAUUCAGGAUUUUGUCCAUCUUACUUGUGACUUCAUGCGCCGUUUGAUAUUUCACAAACGGAGAAGGAUCAACCUCGGCAACAUUGGGUGAGGCGUCAAUAGGGGCAGGCGUUUCAAUUAACUCAUAUUUAGCUUGAAGAUUUCACUUGAUCGUUUCUAGUAAAAAUGCUUCUCUCCGUCACAUAGCCAUUUCUCGCUCCUCUUGGAUGUUUUUUCGAUUUAUGGCCCUUUUCUAUGGCAUGUUUGAUCCAAAUGAUUGAUCGAGAGAUGGAUUAUCGUGAUUGCAGCAACAUGCAAGUAUUGAUCUUUCUGAGCAAGUAGGAUUGAGAGGUGGAAUUCGUGGAUUAAGGGAAGGGAUGGAUUUUUUUGGUCAGAGGCGGCGAAGAAUGGAACCCGACUUCCAUUAAUGGUUUUGGAGAUUCCAACAAGGCAACAGGAAACUAGGGGGUGGGCGGACUAGGCUCUAUGUGAAAUGAUGGGCAGGCCCAUCAAUGUCAAGAACAUGCAAAAGGAAAACUCUAUCAGCCCAUAACAUCUUCAACCCACUUUGUGUUGCAGAUGAUGUUGGAAUCCCAAAUUUAACCUCUAAUUCCCGUACUUAUGAUAAUCCACCUCUCCUUCCCAGAUUGACGAUAGUUUGACGAUCUGUUUUGUCCUCGCAAUCCUUAUUUGGCUUGUACCCCCAAAUUGAAACCCCUAACGCUCGUAUACCCAUACCCUAAAUCACAGUAAUCUACCUCUCAAUCAAUAAUUCCGAUCGAAGAUGCCACUGAAAACGGCGAAGAAGGGAAGAAGUAUCGAAAAGGAGCGAUAUAUGGUUUUGAGACGGUGGAAAGCACUCCUUCUAAAGGUGGUCAAGCGUCGUAAAGUUGAUGUUGGCUCGGUUGCUCCUCGUUCCUCUUUGAAAGAUCCAAAGGACCUUGAGGUCACAGGCAAGCUAGACAAAAUUCGAAGUUUACUGAGCUGUCUAAGUUCUCAAAUAUAGAAUGCGGAACACCCUCCCCAUGCAUCUCCAGCGAAAAAAUUGAGGCCCCGAGAUGGCUCACAAAGUCAGGUAUGAAAUUGUGGAUUUGCAGCAGUUUGUGAGUUGAUCCAUUGUGACUCUUAUAUCAAUGUUUACGGUCUCGUCCUUUUUUGCAUGGAUUACAUUGGAAUUUAGUUGUGGGAAAGUUCGAUUAAAGUAGUUUGUGAGCUGCCAACAUUGUGUUUCUGGUAAGAACCUAUACAUGGAAGAGACACUCCGCCAAAAAAAGGCCCAAAUAUUCCGACAAGGCGCAGAUUGGCCCCUUCAGAGUCAAUGCCGAUAGAGGAGAGACUAACAAGAGACUUGUACUCUUUGUGUACGACACAGAGACGGACUUGCAGCUAAGCGAAACCAUCGUUGAUAGUGCUAGUGGCGGCAUCUUUACCACUAUAGAUUCUGUGAGGACACUCCGACCUGAUGGAUUCAUCAAUGACGACAUUAUAACAUUGUUUGCUGACUAUCUAUGGCAAGAACGUAGAGGAGGCGAUAGCGUUUACUUUACAACCUACUUCUGUCGGAAGACGAUGUAGUAUAGUAUACAGUUAUCUUCAGGACAUGUUGUCAACGGUGUAAGUUCGAAGGAGUUGGGUGUGAGAAGAUUUGACAAUGAUAUUCCUACAUGCAAAAAGGUAUGUCACUGGUUGGCUUCGCUUGUCAGUGAGAUGAUCAAACAUAAACUACAUGUUCACGUUUAAUUAAUCUUACAGAUUUUCAUACCCAUGCACGACCUAAAACAUUGGUACCUGUUGGUGGUGCGUCCUGAUGUCCAAAUAGCUGAAGUGUGGGAUAGCUUGGGAUGUAGCAGGAGACAGAAGAAUCAGUGCAAAACCAUUGUGAGUGAUCACGUUUAUUUCUAAACAAAACAAAAUAACUAUUAUAUUGGUGUACAUGUUUCACUUCCUCAUGAAUAAGUGGAGUUCAUAUGAAACUGCACAAAAGUAAGAAAAAAUAUCCAAGCAAUAAACUAGCCGGCACAACCCACUGCUGAACUUAGAUUACACUUUCUUAUGCCAACAACAAUAAUAACUCAGUCUCAUCUAAAUAGAGUAGUUACAUCCAUAGAGCACUGGCUUGGUGAAAAUCAUCAAUAUCUAGAGAGAAUUCAGGGUCUGAAGGCCACCACCAAUAGCCUGUUGGAGGGGAAUUGGAAUUCCCGUCUUCAAAGUGAUGCAUUUCAUUUUCCCAGUAGCACAAUCCACAACUGCAUCUCUUUACGUUGUCUAGUCCAACGUUGUACAAGUGUGCGCAAGUGUCGCAUGGUCUUUUAGUAACAUCGGCUAUGUGAGUGCAAAAUCCUUCUACCGCAGCAGAACACUGAUGAGUUUGCACGGUGUUGACUUCCUUCUCCAGAACAACUUCAUGCUCCACAUCUGGUUUGGGGCUUAGUCGGUGUUGGCUUGCUUCUUCAACAUCCACCAUAGCAUUCUUUAGAACAGCUUCAUGCUCCACAACUGAUUCUUUAGAGUUAGACAUCUUUCAACGAAAAGGUUGUGGUUACUGAAGCACUCUUAUAUAGAAACGUACUAGGUGGGAAUUGUGAUUUCAAAUUGGUUCAAAUUGAUAUCAAAUUUUUUCAAGUAACCGCCAUCCACCUCAAAUUUUACGGAUCACCAGCGUGUCUUCUAUCCCAGCCGUCAAUCCUAAACCCUACUUUUCAUCUGUAUCGUACAAGGUUGAGAAACCAUAAACACUGCCCAUUGGCCCAUUAGUCCAUUGGCCCAAACCCGGAACCCUAACUUAAUAGAUCAACGUAGAUGGGAUAUUUCAAGGACGGGACCUUCCUUGAAUUACCUCAAAUGUAAUUCUUGGAGAUCUUCCAACGUAAGCACCUUCUAAGUAAAGAUAUUGUUUCCAAGUGUGACUCUUCAAUCUUAGACGUGCAUAUCACCAUAUCUCAUGUAAUCAUCAUCAGAUGCCACCAGUAAGGAAUGUAAUCCCAGUUAUAUACUUCAAAGCAAUUAGGACCUCUUUUCAUGAUAUCCUUCCUUGAUCAUGUCUUCUUAACUAGCAUGAAACACGUCCAUAUUGCCUUUUCCAUCAAAGAUCUUCCAUGCUGCUCAAUAUCGGUAACCAAACAAUCAUCCAUAAUAGUUUAAGGAAUUUUGAAUCUUUUACAAUUUAAGGGUGAGGUUGAGUCUACGUAGUCAUGAUUUUCCUAUAAAUUGCUCAGGAUUUAGGUAGACCUAUGUCAUCCAACAAGUGGACUUAUUUUACAAUUUUUACAAUUUAUGAGAUUAUAUAUGUAUUUUCCUUAUUUUUUGGAAUUUCCUAAGGUCAUGAUUUUCCUAUAAAUUUCUCAGGAUUUAGGUAGACCUAUGUCAUCCAACAAGUGGACUUAUUUUACAAUUUUUACAAUUUAUGAGAUUAUGUAUGUAUUUUCCUUAUUUUUUGGAAUUUCCUAAGGUCAUGAUUUUCAUAUACAUUGCUCAUGAUUUAGGUAGACCUAUGUCAUCCAACAAGUGGACUGACCAAUUACCCAAGACGUCUGAUCAAACCCCCAGACGUCUUAUCGAGUUGGUCACUGCUUUAUUAUUAACGCUUCAUAAACAGGGUCGACUUUUCGAAUGGGUAUUACCUUGCCUUUUCGGUUGCCUUAUAACUUCCUUUUGAGUGAAAGUUUUCCAUCAAACCGCUAUCACUCAUUGGAAUUCCAGUUUCCAGCAUACCAGAUAGUACCUUUCAAGCCAAACUUGUCAAUGGCAAACACAGCUUCCUCUCUUCCUCUGUUCUUAGCCAAGGUUAACAAAGCAGGGUUCAAUGUAACUGAAUUGGUACGAGUGCUCUUUAUCUUAUACUCCGGCUGCAUUUUUUUUUUUUUACUAAACCAUCUACCAAUCAUAAUCAUUUGUUUGACGUUGCAGGAGAUACCUUGGUCAUUUUUUGACAAAUACAUGGUCGGUGAUGUCGAAAAAAAAGGUGUUAUCCAAAAGACUGGACAGUUUCUGUGAAACGGGAUCAUGAGUGGGUUGAGUUGCGCAGAGGAUGGGGUGUAUUUGUGAACGACGUUAUACAGAACGAUUCUGAGGCCUACCUUGUGGUGGAUUACAUGGGGGACAUGCAAUUCAAGGUUAGGGCAUUUUACUCGGAUGGAAACAUUGUCGUCGACGUUCCCCUUUGCUUGAACCAUGCCUGUGGAUUUUACAGAGGACCCCGGCCUGAAUUCUUUAGGCGCGUCACCCAUGCUUCUGAGCGCCCAAUGGUAACUUUCUUCAACUUUCAUUAUUGCAUUGAAGUUCCAUUGUGGUUUGUCUUGAGAGUGUUCUUAUUAUUUUAUGCAGGUUAUUAUACACAGAUCAAUGCUCACGGACCAUUCCACAAACAACUUCUUGAUGUCGGAAUGGGUCUAUUUGAGUUUCACCUGAAGGCGGCGCCGGCGAUUAAAACGGUCGUGCAGCUUACUCGCACAAACAGAAACUAUAUUGAGUUUAGCACCGGGUGGAACACCUUUUUGGCGUUGUGCGGGAUCCAAAGUGAAGAUUUGGUCGUUUUAGAACUAGUUCCAGAUCGCAAAAUCAGUGUCUUGGCAUUCCUCCCGGAAGACAAGGGGCCCGAGGGGGCCCUUCUAACUCCUCUGCCAACAGUUGAUGCACAUGAAUCUUCGUCGGAAAAUUAUUAAAUUUUCAAAAAAUUUUAAUUGUCUUUAAUUUCGGAAAGUUAUUAUAUAUUUCGUUUAUGAACUAUAAGGACAUGUUAUGUGUUUUGUAAAACUAGCUACAUAUGAUAUUAUGUUUUUCGUUUAAGAACUGGGAACUGUUAGAACCUCUACCUUGUGUUGAUUUUGAUUUCCAGAAUGUAUGAUGAAUGAUAAUGUACACCACGUAAACAAACUAAACAGGUAGGUUAAUCUUCGUAAACAUUGUACACUAUGUUCAAAAAACAGGUAGACCCAUAUAAGCAGACCAGUUUAGAGUUGGUCUACUCGUAGUGUGAGUCAAUGCUUCGAAGAGCUAGUACACCACGUUCACAAAACAAGUAGGUUAGUGUUCGUAAAUAGGUAAAUCAUUUUGUCUCACAAAAAAAGUAGACCCGUGCUCGUAAAUAAGCAGACCAACCUUCAUAAACAGGUAGUCCUGUCAAGAAUUCUUCAAGUGUCUGUGAAUUUUGGACACUUUAGAGUUGGUCUACUCGUAGUGUGAGACUAUCCUUCGUAAACCUAGUACAUCGCGUUCACAAAACAGGUAGGUUAGUGUUCGUAAACAGGUAGACCAUUUUGUCUCACAAAAAAAGUAGACCCGCGCUCUUAAAUAAGCAGACCAGCCUUCGUAAACAGGUAGACAUGUCAAGAAUUCUUUAAGUGUCUGUGAAUUCUGGACACUUUAGAGUUGUUCUACUCGUAGUGUGAGUCAGUACUUCGUAAACCUAGUACAUCACGUUCACAAAACAGGUAGGUUAGUGUUUGUAAACAGGUAGACCAUUUUGUCUCACAAAAAAAGUAGACCCGUGCUCGUAAAUAAGCAGACUAGUCUUCGUAAACAAGUAGACCAUUUUGUCUCACAAAAAAGUAGACCCGUGCUCAUAAAUAAGCAGACCAGUCUUCGUAAACAGGUAGACCUGCUAAGAAUUCUUCAAGUGUCUGUGAAUUCUGGACAUUUUAGAGUUAGUCUACUCGUAGUGUGAGUCAGUACUUUGUAAACCUAGUACACCACGUUCACAAAACAGGUAGGUUAGUGUUCGUAAACAGGUAGACAAUUUUGUCUCACAAAAAAAGUAGACCCACGCUUGUAAAUAAGCAGACCAGCCUUCGUAAACCAGGUAGACCUGCCAAGAAUUCUUCAAGUGUGUGAAUUCUGGACACUUCAGAGUUGGUCUACUCGUAGUUUGAGUCAGUGCUUCGUAAACCUAGUACACCACAUUCACAAAACAAGUAGGGUAGUGUUCGUAAACAGGUAGACCAUUUGUCUCACAAAAAAAGUAGACCCGUGCUCGAAAAUAAGCAGACCAGUCUUCGUAAACAGGUGGACCUAUCAAGAAUUUUUCAAGUGUGUGAAUUUUGGACACUUUAGAGUUGGCCUACUCGUAGUGUGAGAUUGUCCUUCGUAAACCUAGUACAUCGCAUUCACAAAACAAGUAGGUUAGUGUUCGUAAACAAGUAGACCAUUUUGUCUCACAAAAAAAGUAGACCCAGGCUCGUAAAUAAACAGACAGCCUUCGUAAACAGGUAGACCUGUAAAGAAUUCUUCAAGUAUCCGUGAAUUCUGGACACUCUAGAGUUGGUCUACUCGUAGUGUGAGUUAGUGAUUCGCAGCACAAGUACACCACGUUCACAAAACAGGUAGGUUUGGCUACGUAAACAGGUAGACCAUUUUGCUUCACAAAAAAAGUAGACCAUUUCUCGUAAAUAAGCAGACCAGGCUUCGUAAAUAGGUAGACCUCUCAAGAAAGUACACAUAAUAAAGUAGUUAAUAUGUUGUAAUAAAGUACACAUGUCAUGUGAAUAAUGUACACAUAAUAAAGUAGUUAAUACAUAGUAAUAUAGUACACAUCGUAUGUGAGAGGAUGAGGUUUUACAAUAAGGAGACAUAGGUUCUACCAACGGCUACGGCGGACACUUUCUGUUGCGAGGUUUUACAGUUCCGUGCACUUGUGGUUUUCCGUUUGUGUUGCUCUCGGUCGGUUCAAUCUUCACUUGCUUCAGGACUUGUACAUUCUUUUCGCACUCCUCAGUCUCUUAAUUGUUCUGAGGCUCUUCAAUCUUGUUUUCCAGUUUCUUAUUCUGUAAUCUUUUUUUGAUGUUUCUACACAUCAUUUGCCAUCUGCUGUUGUAUCUGUUCCUUAUCAAUUUCAAGGUUAGCUAUUUGCGAACCUCUUUUGAGUUAUACUGCAAUGCAUAAAUUUCAAUGAAGUUAAUGCCCAUGCCACUCAUUACCAUUCAAAUUCUCUAGUACAAAUGAAAAACAUACCUCAGUCCAUCACUCUUCAUCAUACUGCUCCAUGUGUUUGAUUGUAAAGAUCCCGCAGUCAUCAGUACCCUCUUGUUUGGGACAUUGUGGCGGCUUAAAAAUGGGAAAAUCUUCAAAUUUCUUAGUCUUCUUCACAAGAUGGCCGAAAAUAAUGUCAAAGACAUUCAACUGUUACAUCAUGACAGAAUAACCAUGCAACUGAGUAGACAAUGUUGCUGGGAUUAUGAACACAAAAGGCUUCGUGUGACUUACAAUAUCUUUGCAGUGAUCCUUGCGUGAUUUUUUGUCUCAAAGGCUAACCCAGUAUUCUCCUGUCUCGUUAUCUAUACACACAACAAAGACAUACCAAUGAUCUGAGUCAUGGAUUGGUAUGAACAUCUGUUAAAAAAAAAAUUCUUAAUGUCAGACAUCAUACAAAAUCCAAAUAUCACUCAACCCUAUUGAUUAUAAAAACAACUGCAAACUAACCUUUUUGCAAUGAGGAAGGUAUUUACUGUAACUUUUUACCCACAUUUUCUUUGGUGUAGGAACUUUUCCUACCGGUUUUUCAUACGUACAAUAUGAUUUUAGCUUGUUGCUGAAAAAAGUGUGGAAAUAAACAUUGUCGCCAGUGCUACUUGCAAGUAGAUAAGAGGCAAAUAUGGUCACAACCUCAUCGUUAAGCCAUGUGUUCGGUAGGAGAGUCCUUGCCCUCUUACAACUCUGACCAUUGCACUCAACAAGAAUCAAUUCACUGCCAACUCCAUUAUAAACAUAAUCCAGGACUGCUUCGUCAUCCACAUCCAUGAUAACAUCAAUCUUAAACUCCCUAACCUUCUGCUUCUCAACAUAAACAUUCUUGCAGGGGGCCUCCUUCUCAACAUUCUUGCAGGAGUCAGUAAGAUCAAUUAUUUUUUCUUCUUCCCUCUGUUUCUCAACAUUCUGGCAUGAGGCUUCCUUCUCAACAUUCUUGCAGGAGUCAGUAAGAUCAAUUAUUUUUUCUUCAUCCUUCUGUUUCUGAACAUUCACCCAUGAGGCCUCCUUCUCAACAUUCUUGCAGGAGUCAGUAAGAUCAAUUAUUUUUUCUUCAUCCCUCUGUUUCUCAAUAUUCUGGCAUGAGGCUUCUUUCUCAACAUUCUUCCCCAUCUCAUAAGUUUGUGAAACCUUACUCGGUUUAAAGAUAUACCUACAUGGACUGAUCACCGAUGAUUCAGAUGAAAUAUCCACGGGUGUUGAAUUCUUUGCCGGCAGCUCCGGUGACACCUAAAAGGAGGAUCAAUGUAAAUUUUAUGUAAAUUUAGGUGAAUUACUAAGCACACAAUUAUGAGAAGGCAAAUAAUCCACAUAGGAAAGAAACAACAACUCAUACCUACCCAAAUAAUACACAGAAACAUGACACUCCCCUGUAAAAGUAGACUUCAACAACUAUGUUUGUAGACCAAAUAAGUUGUCAACUUGUCAUGUUAGCACACAUUUUCGCUGUUACAAUAGCCAGUUUCUGGACAUAGAAUUCAACCUAUAAUUAUUACAGACAUGCUUAUAAGUUAUAACAUUCAAAAGGAGAUGUUGUGAGUGUCACAUCCCGACCCUUAUAUUUUCACCUUAUUUACUAGCCUGAUUAUAAUAAGAAUUUUACCGUCUCGAUCAUUGAGUAAAUAGUUUAAUUGGUCCCUAGAAGGGUUUCGGAGACGAUUAUGUGCGGAGGAUUAUUAGUAUGAGGAAAAUACGACGACGGUAAAAAUGGUAAAUUUUAGCUAGUAAAAGGUAAUUUUUAUUCGGGUUAUUAUUUUUCGGGUUGUUUUAUUUUUNNNNNNNNNNNNNNNNNNNNNNNNNNNNNNNNNNNNNNNNNNNNNNNNNNNNNNNNNNNNNNNNNNNNNNNNNNNNNNNNNNNNNNNNNNNNNNNNNNNNNNNNNNNNNNNNNNNNNNNNNNNNNNNNNNNNNNNNNNNNNNNNNNNNNNNNNNNNNNNNNNNNNNNNNNNNNNNNNNNNNNNNNNNNNNNNNNNNNNNNNNNNNNNNNNNNNNNNNNNNNNNNNNNNNNNNNNNNNNNNNNNNNNNNNNNNNNNNNNNNNNNNNNNNNNNNNNNNNNNNNNNNNNNNNNNNNNNNNNNNNNNNNNNNNNNNNNNNNNNNNNNNNNNNNNNNNNNNNNNNNNNNNNNNNNNNNNNNNNNNNNNNNNNNNNNNNNNNNNNNNNNNNNNNNNNNNNNNNNNNNNNNNNNNNNNNNNNNNNNNNNNNNNNNNNNNNNNNNNNNNNNNNNNNNNNNNNNNNNNNNNNNNNNNNNNNNNNNNNNNNNNNNNNNNNNNNNNNNNNNNNNNNNNNNNNNNNNNNNNNNNNNNNNNNNNNNNNNNNNNNNNNNNNNNNNNNNNNNNNNNNNNNNNNNNNNNNNNNNNNNNNNNNNNNNNNNNNNNNNNNNNNNNNNNNNNNNNNNNNNNNNNNNNNNNNNNNNNNNNNNNNNNNNNNNNNNNNNNNNNNNNNNNNNNNNNNNNNNNNNNNNNNNNNNNNNNNNNUUGCGGCAUGCAUUUCGAUUUUUUCCUUAGAAAUUAAUGGGGAAACAUAAAUAUUUUAUUUAUUAUUUUAUUUUUGUCCACUCACUCUGACGUUAUUAAAUGUUUUCCCCUGGGCCCUUCGUUUUAAAUUGCCCAGUCUGCAGAGUUCGGGUUGGAUCUAGUAGGAGACGAGGCAUAGUCACCCGCUUUUCGGCCAGUUUUCGCCAGUAGGUUACCUGUUCAACCUACUCGUAUUUUCUUGAUUCCGCUUGUGUUUAGUAGCUCUGAAUACUUUAGAAUUUUUGUAUAUUAUGUGAUGUUCAGAAGUGUAAUAUGAAAUUUUCGAGUUAGGGUUGUCCAUCUACAAGGGAGAUUUUCUUAAUCUUUUCAGUAAAUUUUCCUUGGAGGUGGUCCCCGCACGACUUAUUCUGGGUUUCAGGGUGAAAUUCAGGGUGGGUCGUGUCAAACAAUGUGUCUCUAAUUCUCCACUCUCUCUUCCUCCCUUCCCUUUAUUCACUUGAAGCAACAUCUAUUUAUAGGGCAACAAUGAUCUUCAUUCAAUUUCAACUCCAUGUGAAAAUGAUUCUCCAUUUCUCAAACUUCUCAAGUUUGAUAGCUAAAGUCUCCAUCCAUAAAUGCUUCCAUACAUAGCUUCAUUCUCUCAUUUUUCAUGUGAAUGAAGAGAAGAUACGUACAUAAUCUUUGAACAAUUGAAGAUUUAGUUCCUAGAAUCAUGCUUGCUUGCUUGCUUCUUGCCUCCUUGUUUCAUGGCAUAUGUCCUUGGAAAUUCUUCAUACUCUCUUCUGUUUGUAUCAAUGCAUCUAUAUACCUAUGAAUCAAACAAGCAAAAGUGAAUUCAACAAUGGAUGCCAUGGUAAUAUUUCCACACAUCACACUUAAUGCAUGAGAAAAUAAUCCACCAAUUUAACACAUGCAUAUAUGCAUACAAGCUACUAGAAUAAGAAGAACAUGUGUUGCAAUUAUUCAUCUAAUUAAAGGGAAAAAGACUCAUGUUAAAACAAAGACUCAAUUUACUAUAUGAAAAUAGGUAAAUUGCUACUAUAACUUUAACAUUCUAUUUAUUUAGACAAAACAUCUAUAAGAACACAAAAGCAAACUAAACAACUCAUACUAAUUAAAACAAGUAACUAACACAUAUAAAUCAGGGAUAAUAAUAUGAUAUAAAAUGUGCUCAUCAAUAC
rnacentral:lncRNA from 1 species